CGUUAUGUCAUUUAGAAUGUAAGCACAUCGUUUUAAGCAUUUUUAAUCAAACAACAAAAAUGUAUCUUCAGCUUGCAUUCUUUGUCCCACUUCCAUUCUAACAUAUAUUUUUCUCGGUUUCCUGUACCUGCUCAAGAAGGUUUCAUAUAGUAUUCUGGUACCAGUUGUGGUCUAGUGUACAGGUUUCAUAAGUUGAAAGCCCCAAAGACCUCUGCUCUAAGCAAAACUGAGUCUGUGCACAGAGAACUGUGAAAUAUGCUAAUCACAU